AGGUACAACAUUGUUGUAUUUGGUGGAGUGGAUGGCUACUCAAGGAAGAUUAUGUACCUGGACGCUGCUACUAAUAAUAAAGCUUCAACAGCACUUUCAUUUUUCCUGAAAUCUGUACACCUCCAUGGCUUGCCAUCAAGGGUUAGGGGAGAUCAGGGAGUGGAAAAUGUUGACAUUGCUUUUACCACACUUACCACACGUGGAACGGGAAGAGCAAGCUUUAUUUCCGGAAA